rnacentral:tRNA from 1 species
AGUAGUGAAGUAAAAAUUACAUUUAGUUUCGACCUAAAAAUCAGAGAAAACUCUCCUUACUU